UGUCAGCAGCCGCGGUAAUACGGGAGAUGCAAGCGUUAUCCGGAAUUAUUGGGCGUAAAGCGUUCGUAGGCGGUUCAACAAGUCUGUUGUCAAAGGUCGCAGCUUAACUGCGGAAAGGCAAUGGAAACUGUGGAGCUAGAGUGUGGUAGGGGUAAGGGGAAUUCCCAGUGUAGCGGUGAAAUGCGUAGAUAUUGGGAAGAACACCAGCGGCGAAAGCGCCUUACUGGGCCACAACUGACGCUGAGGGACGAAAGCUAGGGGAGCGAAAGGGAUUAGAUACCCCUGUAGUCCUAGCCGUAAACGAUGGACACUAGGUGUUGUCUGUAUCGACCCGGACAGUGCCGUAGCCAACGCGUUAAGUGUCCCGCCUGGGGAGUACGCACGCAAGUGUGAAACUCAAAUAAAUUGACGG
rnacentral:rRNA from 1 species